ACGCUCGACACCUACGGGAAGCAGCAGUGGGGAAUAUUGCACAAUGGGGGAAACCCUGAUGCAGCGACGCCGCGUGGAGGAAGAAGGUCUUCGGAUUGUAAACUCCUGUUGUUGGGGAAAAAGAGGAUGGUACCCAACAAGGAAGUGACGGCUAACUACGUGCCAGCAGCCGCGGUAAUCUGAGCGGGCUGGCAAGGC
rnacentral:rRNA from 1 species